UUUAAUGUUUGAUGUUCUAACGUGGACCCGUAAUCCGGGUUGCGGACAGUGUCUGGUGGGUAGUUUGACUGGGGCGGUCUCCUCCUAAAGAGUAACGGAGGAGCACGAAGGUUGGCUAAUCCUGGUCGGACAUCAGGAGGUUAGUGCAAUGGCAUAAGCCAGCUUGACUGCGAGCGUGACGGCGCGAGCAGGUGCGAAAGCAGGUCAUAGUGAUCCGGUGGUUCUGAAUGGAAGGGCCAUCGCUCAACGGAUAAAAGGUACUCCGGGGAUAACAGGCUGAUACCGCCCAAGAGUUCAUAUCGACGGCGGUGUUUGGCACCUCGAUGUCGGCUCAUCACAUCCUGGGGCUGAAGUAGGUCCCAAGGGUAUGGCUGUUCGCCAUUUAAAGUGGUACGCGAGCUGGGUUUAGAACGUCGUGAGACAGUUCGGUCCCUAUCUGCCGUGGGCGCUGGAGAAUUGAGGGGGGCUGCUCCUAGUACGAGAGGACCGGAGUGGACGCAUCACUGGUGUUCGGGUUGUCAUGCCAAUGGCACUGCCCGGUAGCUAAAUGCGGAAGAGAUAAGUGCUGAAAGCAUCUAAGCACGAAACUUGCCCCGAGAUGAGUUCUCCCUGACUCCUUGAGAGUCCUGAAGGAACGUUGAAGACGACGACGUUGAUAGGCCGGGUGUGUAAGCGCAGCGAUGCGUUGAGCUAACCGGUACUAAUGAACCGUGAGGCUUAACCUUACAACGCCGAAG
rnacentral:rRNA from 1 species